AUCAUUUCUCGGCCUUUUGGCUAAGAUCAAGUGUAGUAUCUGUGUGGAUUAUCUGUCCGUACAAAAAAGCAGGGCAUUAAAAUCCACUACUAUUAUUGUAUUACUAUUGACUAUUU
rnacentral:snRNA from 1 species